rnacentral:rRNA from 1 species
AACGAACGUUAGCGGCGCGCCUAACACAUGCAAGUCGCACGAGAAAGGGCUUCGGCCCCGGUAAAGUGGCGCACGGGUGAGUAACACGUGGGUAAUCUGCCCUUGAGCGGGGGAUAACAUUCCAAAAGGAGUGCUAAUACCGCAUAAGACCACGGCUUCGAAAGGAGCAGCGGUCAAAGCUGGCCUCUGUACACAAGCUAGCACUCCAGGAUGAGCCCGCGGCGCAUCAGCUUGUUGGUGAGGUAAUGGCUCACCAAGGCUAAGACGCGUAGCUGGUCUGAGAGGAUGAUCAGCCACACUGGAACUGAGACACGGUCCAGACUCCUACGGGAGGCAGCAGUGGGGAAUCUUGCGCAAUGGGCGAAAGCCUGACGCAGCGACGCCGCGUGAGUGAUGAAGGCCUUCGGGUUGUAAAGCUCUGUGGGGAGAGACGAAUAAGUGCAGCCUAAUACGUUGCAUGAUGACGGUAUCUCCUUAGCAAGCACCGGCUAACUCUGUGCCAGCAGCCGCCGCGGUAA